rnacentral:rRNA from 1 species
CGAACGCUGGCGGCGUGCCUAACACAUGCAAGUCGUACGAGAAAGCUCCCUUCGGGGAGUGAGUAGAGUGGCGCACGGGUGAGUAACGCGUGGGCAAUCUGCCCCCGAGCUCGGAAUAACCCCUCGAAAGGGGGGCUAAUACCGGAUAACAAUUCGAUCUCCUCGGAGGUUGAAUUCAAAGGUGGCCUCUGAUUUAAGCUACCACUUGGGGAGGAGCCCGCGUCCCAUUAGCUUGUUGGUGGGGUAAUGGCCUACCAAGGCUACGAUGGGUAGCCGGCCUGAGAGGGUGACCGGCCACACUGGAACUGAGACACGGUCCAGACUCCUACGGGAGGCAGCAGUGGGGAAUUUUGCGCAAUGGGCGAAAGCCUGACGCAGUGACGCCGCGUGGACGAUGAAGGUCUUCGGGUCGUAAAGUCCUGUCAAGUGGGAAGAAGUGCGUGGUAGCCAAUACCUGCCAUGUUUGACGGUACCACUAGAGGAAGCCCCGGCCAACUCC